rnacentral:rRNA from 1 species
AGCAGCCGCGGUAAUUCCAGCUCCAAUAGCGUAUAUUAAAGUUGUUGCAGUUAAAAAGCUCGUAGUUGAACUUCGGGGUUUACUCAUUGGUCAGGCUUAAUUGUCUGUACUGGUGAGAUGAAUCUCUACCUUCUGAGGAACUUUCAUGCCAUUUAUUUGGUGUGAUUGGAAAUCAGGACUGUUACUUUGAAAAAUUGAGUGUUUAAAGCAGGCUAACGUCUGAAUACAUUAGCAUGGAAUAAUGAAAUAGGACGGAUUGAUUCUAUUUCGUUGGUUUCUAGGGUCACCGUAAUGAUUAAUAGGGAUAGUUGGGGCAUUAGUAUUCAAUUGUCAGAGGUGAAAUUCUUGGAUUUAUUGAAGACUAACUACUGCGAAAGCAUUUGCCAAGGAUGUUUUCAUUAAUCAAGAACGAAAGUUAGGGGAUCGAAGACGAUCAGAUACCGUCGUAGUCUUAACCAUAAAACUAUGCCGACUA